GGCUCAAUGGUCUAGAGGUAUGAUUCAAGCUUCGGGUCCACAGACGUAGAAUGCUUGAGGUCUCGGGUUCGAUUCCCGAUUGAGCCC